rnacentral:rRNA from 1 species
CAGGCCUAACACAUGCAAGUCGAGCGGAAACGAGUUAUCUGAACCUUCGGGGAACGAUAACGGCGUCGAGCGGCGGACGGGUGAGUAAUGCCUAGGAAAUUGCCCUGAUGUGGGGGAUAACCAUUGGAAACGAUGGCUAAUACCGCAUGAUGCCUACGGGCCAAAGAGGGGGACCUUCGGGCCUCUCGCGUCAGGAUAUGCCUAGGUGGGAUUAGCUAGUUGGUGAGGUAAGGGCUCACCAAGGCGACGAUCCCUAGCUGGUCUGAGAGGAUGAUCAGCCACACUGGAACUGAGACACGGUCCAGACUCCUACGGGAGGCAGCAGUGGGGAAUAUUGCACAAUGGGCGCAAGCCUGAUGCAGCCAUGCCGCGUGUGUGAAGAAGGCCUUCGGGUUGUAAAGCACUUUCAGUCGUGAGGAAGGUAGUGUAGUUAAUAGCUGCAUUAUUUGACGUUAGCGACAGAAGAAGCACCGGCUAACUCCGUGCCAGCAGCCGCGGUAAUACGGAGGGUGCGAGCGUUAAUCGGAAUUACUGGGCGUAAAGCGCAUGCAGGCGGUUUGUUAAGUCAGAUGUGAAAGCCCGGGGCUCAACCUCGGAAUAGCAUUUGAAACUGGCAGACUAGAGUACUGUAGAGGGGGGUAGAAUUUCAGGUGUAGCGGUGAAAUGCGUAGAGAUCUGAAGGAAUACCGGUGGCGAAGGCGGCCCCCUGGACAGAUACUGACACUCAGAUGCGAAAGCGUGGGGAGCAAACAGGAUUAGAUACCCUGGUAGUCCACGCCGUAAACGAUGUCUACUUGGAGGUUGUGGCCUUGAGCCGUGGCUUUCGGAGCUAACGCGUUAAGUAGACCGCCUGGGGAGUACGGUCGCAAGAUUAAAACUCAAAUGAAUUGACGGGGGCCCGCACAAGCGGUGGAGCAUGUGGUUUAAUUCGAUGCAACGCGAAGAACCUUACCUACUCUUGACAUCCAGAGAACUUUCCAGAGAUGGAUUGGUGCCUUCGGGAACUCUGAGACAGGUGCUGCAUGGCUGUCGUCAGCUCGUGUUGUGAAAUGUUGGGUUAAGUCCCGCAACGAGCGCAACCCUUAUCCUUGUUUGCCAGCGAGUAAUGUCGGGAACUCCAGGGAGACUGCCGGUGAUAAACCGGAGGAAGGUGGGGACGACGUCAAGUCAUCAUGGCCCUUACGAGUAGGGCUACACACGUGCUACAAUGGCGCAUACAGAGGGCGGCCAACUUGCGAAAGUGAGCGAAUCCCAAAAAGUGCGUCGUAGUCCGGAUUGGAGUCUGCAACUCGACUCCAUGAAGUCGGAAUCGCUAGUAAUCGUGGAUCAGAAUGCCACGGUGAAUACGUUCCCGGGCCUUGUACACACCGCCCGU